GAGUCAAUGCUAUGAUAUUGAAUCCUAUAUUGAUUUUCAUUUUUUGUAUUACUCGUUGAGAAGCGUAGAUUGUAGGUCGCUCUUCAGAUGGGUGUAAUGCUAUUUUUAAACAAUCCAUCUUGAUGUGAGGCUUAGGGUUAAUGGAAAAAGAUCACUUUCUAGACUUAUAAGUUGUGUCUGUAAUCUUGGAUGUGAUUGGUGAUCGGAUGCAGCAAUCAUCUGUGGAAGUAGAAGAUAAACAAUUACUGGGUACCGUGGAGAGGCAACUGAAUGAGAUAGCACCGGUGGAAAGCAAAUCAUCUCCUCGUUAAGUUCAUUAUAUGAAUUUGUCCACCUUCAACUGGGAUGAGGAGGCCGACAAAGUGAAGAUACACAUCUCUUUAAAGGGUUUGACACAUGAGAAAGUUGAGGUUGAUAUCUAAGAACAAUCGUUCAAUUUGAAGAUUCAAGGUGUGAAUGACAUGAACUACCAGUUUUAUUAAUCCUAGAUUGGCUAAGAAGAUUGUACCAUCGGGUUGGAAGGUUCUCCUGAAAUCAACAAGAGUCAUCCUCACACUGAAAAACGCUGAUUUUGGCAACCGGCUUGAACAUACAAAGAAGGAAGAUCAGAUAAAAACCAAGAGUGGGCUUUUUUCGAUCGUCGUCCGUUACUGCUGUUGAUGAGCAGAGUAAAAAUCGAUAUCUAGACAAGGACGCAGAUCCAAGGGGCAGGUCAGAUGGGUUUGAUGAAGAUACAAUGUAAUUACAUCGUUGUGGGUAGUCUGCUUUGUUUUCGUAAUUAUGUAACUGCGUCAAGGAAGCUGUUUAUAUGCAGGGUACGUGAUGGUCGAACUCUGUAUAGAUACAUGUGGCAUCCUUGAUGGCUACUUUUGAACCUGUUUCCUGUUUUGUGUCUAGAACGAUUCUAUUCUUUCAUGUUUUAAGUUCUCCAUCAUACUCAUUGUUUUUACUUCUUAAAAACAUGUAUGAAGAGGGUGAUGAGAUGAAGAAAAACAUAGUCUAGGUCUGGACUGAUGCUCUGUCAGGGAAGCCCGGGGUGGGUUCUAGUUCAAUGGAUUCUUUCGAAGGCCUGAGUGUGUUUCCUUUCAAUUCAACUUUAUACCGUGUUUUCGCA